GUUAAUUUCCAACAAGCCUGUCUUAACGAGCGGAGUACAGGCUUAACACUGGCCAUUUCAAGGUGCCAGCAACCUUGCCAUCAGUGUGGAGGUGUGGGGUAGAGGGUAAGAUAGCACAGUCCUGGGGAAGCCAUUGCAGCAACUGGGCCGUGCUAUGGAAUAAUGAAUCACGAGGCAUUUGGGCAAGAAGUUAUAACCAGAAGGACGUGGCAAUAGCAAGACAAAUCACAAUGGACUUAGUGGGUCCUGACAGUGAAAAGGAGGUCAGAGGCUGGAGUGUGUGGUUAAAUGAGUAGGGUCUACCACUGUGCAGUUCAGCCAGGAGAGCUGAGUGGUCCAGACAGCUACAGAAGCACCAAGAUUGGAGCUAGUGGCACAGCUCAGGCUGGCUCACCUCUGCUCAGCUAAGUUGGGUUAUAUAAGCAGGUAUCAACAUUUUGAAGUGGUUAUAUAGGCCUGGUGGGAUGGGUGUCCCUUCGUCCACUUCAUCACAUAAGAGAUAAAUCUUUGCUAUAAAUUGCUCAUGCUUCAGCAAAGAACAAUAUUUCUUAGUGGGUAUUGGAAGGUCUGGAGGCAACAGGCAAAUUCUAUUUCUCCAUGGCUGUGUCCCACUCACUCUCUAUUCUUCACCCAUUUUUGUCCUCAUUGUACUCAUAGCCAAUCAAACUGAGGAUCCACAAAGGCUGAUAUCAGAUGUAACUUCAUCAGAAUAUCCUCCUUGUGAAAGAUCUGUACCUAUAUUUAAUCUGCCAAGGUAAUAGGUUUAAGUGAAACACAGCUGACAUAUCCAACCCACUAAGCUAUUAUAUUUGCAUUUUAUAUUGAACAUCCCUGUAAUAUUCUCG
rnacentral:lncRNA from 10 species